rnacentral:rRNA from 1 species
AUUGAACGCUGGCGGCAGGCCUAACACAUGCAAGUCGAGCGGUAGAGAGGUGCUUGCAUCCCUUGAGAGCGGCGGACGGGUGAGUAAUGCCUAGGAAUCUGCCUAGUGGUGGGGGAUAACGUUCGGAAACGGACGCUAAUACCGCAUACGUCCUACGGGAGAAAGCGGGGGAUCUUCGGACCUCGCGCCAUUAGAUGAGCCUAGGGCGGAUUAGCUAGUUGGUGAGGUAAUGGUUCACCAAGGCGAAGAUCCGUAACUGGUCUGAGAGGAUGAUCAGUCACACUGGAACUGAGACACGGUCCAGACUCCUACGGGAGGCAGCAGUGGGGAAUAUUGGACAAUGGGCGAAAGCCUGAUCCAGCCAUGCCGCGUGUGUGAAGAAGGUCUUCGGAUUGUAAAGCACUUUAAGUUGGGAGGAAGGGUCGUAACCUAAUACGUUGCGGCUUUGACGUUACCGACAGAAUAAGCACCGGCUAACUUCGUGCCAGCCGCCGCAGUAAUAC